rnacentral:tRNA from 1 species
GUAGUCCUAGCUCAGCUGGCAGAGCAACGAUUUGUGGUGUCGUGUAUUAUGGUUCGAGUCCAUAGUUUUACC